rnacentral:rRNA from 1 species
AUGAAACACUCCUACGGGAGGCAGCAGUGGGGAAUAUUGCACAAUGGAGGGAACUCUGAUGCAGCGACGCCGCGUGAACGAUGAAGGCUUUCGAGUCGUAAAGUUCUUUUAUAUGGGAAGAUAAUGACGGUACCAUAAGAAAAAGCCCCGGCUAACUACGUGCCAGCAGCCGCGGUAAUACGUAGGGGGCUAGCGUUGUCCGGAAUCACUGGGCGUAAAGGGUUCGCAGGCGGAAAUGCAGGUCGGAUGUAAAAGGCAGUAGCUUAACUACUGUAAGCAUUUGAAACUGCAUAUCUUGAGAAGAGUAGAGGUAAGUGGAAUUUUUAGUGUAGCGGUGAAAUGCGUAGAUAUUAAAAAGAAUACCGGUGGCGAAGGCGACUUACUGGGCUCAUUCUGACGCUGAGGAACGAAAGCGUGGGUAGCAAACAGGAUUAGAAACCCUGGUAGUCCGAAGUUC